rnacentral:rRNA from 1 species
UACGUAGGGGGCUAGCGUUGUCCGGAUUUAUUGGGCGUAAAGAGCGUGUAGGCGGCCAGGUAGGUCUGCUGUGAAAACUCGAGGCUCAACCUCGAGACGUCGGCGGAAACCAUCUGGCUAGAGUCCGGAAGAGGAGAGUGGAAUUCCUGGUGUAGCGGUGAAAUGCGCAGAUAUCAGGAAGAACACCCGUGGCGAAGGCGGCUCCUCUGGGACGGUACUGACGCUGAGACGCGAAAAGCGUGGGGAGCGAACAGG